rnacentral:tRNA from 1 species
UGGGUCGUGGCUCAGUGGUAGAGUGCUUGCCUAGCAUGCAUAAGGCACUGGGUUCAAUCCUCAGCACCACAU